GCUGGGCCAUCUUAGGCCACAUUUGAUGGAAGACAAGGGAGCUUCUAAGAAGUCUAGCUGGGAGAUUUCCUUUGGGUUCUUAGUGACUCAAAAAGGAGCUUUUCCAAAUGUCCUUCAUCUUGGGGAGGGUCCUAAUUCCAGGAUGGAGAAAGUAACAGAGAGGCAAGCUCCAUGCCAAUUUGUUGUGUGCAUAUCCAGCCUGCUCAUGGUGCAGGUGCCUGCAUCUGUACCUUUUUUUUUUUUUUUUUUUUAAUGGGCAGCCUCUUUAUCCCAAGUCUCUUUCCUCUUGUACCUGCUCAACCUCCUGCUUGUCUGCUUGGGCUGUCAUUAGUAAUAACAAGCUGUUAUGUAGCACUUAUACUUCAUGUUCGAUCCUCAUGGUCCGCUGGCCAUAGGUGCUGUUGUAACCCCAUUUCACAAGGAAAUCAUUGAUGCCCAGUGAGGAUCAGUGACUUGUCUGAAGUUGCAAUCAAUAAGGUCAUGGUUGGCCCAGACAUAAGUCCAGGCCCUUUGGCUCUAUGCUGUUGGCAGGAGUGUGGGAAGAGAGGUGCAGGGUAACCACAGGUCCACACACAGGCCCUGGCCAAGAACUGCUUCACAGCCACACUCCUCCAUGAAAGUUGUCUGCUCUGUGGGGUCCCAGCAG